rnacentral:rRNA from 1 species
CGAGGACGAACGCUGGCGGCGUGCCUAAUACAUGCAAGUCGAACGGUCUUUCUAUGGAAGCUUGCUUCCACUGAGAAGAUAGUGGCGAACGGGUGAGUAACACGUGGGUAACCUGCCCAUAAGAGGGGGAGUAACAUCCGGAAACGGGUGCUAAUACCGCAUAGUUUUCUUGAUCGCAUGAUUGAGAAAGGAAAGACGGCCUUUGUGCUGUCGCUUAUGGAUGGACCCGCGGCGUAUUAGUUAGUUGGUGAGGUAACGGCUCACCAAGACGAUGAUACGUAGCCGACCUGAGAGGGUGAUCGGCCACAUUGGGACUGAGACACGGCCCAAACUCCUACGGGAGGCAGCAGUAGGGAAUCUUCCGCAAUGGACGAAAGUCUGACGGAGCAACGCCGCGUGAGUGAAGAAAAGGUUUUCGGAUCGUAAAACUCUGUUGUCAGAGAAGAACAAGUUGGAGAGUAACUGCUCCAGCCUUGACGGUAUCUGACCAGAAAGCCACGGCUAACUACGUGCCAGCCGCGGC